UGAAGACCAAACCCUUGAUUAAUUGGCUGCAAAAAAGGGUUAAUUUUUAGGUUCAAGAAAUGAAUACUAUAACAGAAAUAACAUUAAUUUUCUAUUAUAAUGAGGUAUUUCAAAUAAAGCACGUGAGAUGUUGAUUUUCACACAUGCUCUAACAUAUUGAUUCAACUAAUUAAAUUUUUAAAAAAGUGUGUUAAGUUUUUACAUGCUAUCAGUUAAAGGAAAAGUAACCAAUACUCUCUCAAUGAAUUAAAUAUUAUGCAGAUAAUAUAUGUUUAUAAGAACUAUCUGAAAAAGAUGCUUCAGAGAAGCACAGUAUGCUCACCCUUUAAUCUUAAAAAGGAACAUAAAAAGUGAAACAAAAAACCUAUUUCUCUCUUCAAUGUGACAUCU